GACUUCAUUCACUCACUCAACCUGGGUGUGAUGUUUUCAGUUGCAAAAUCCAUCACAACCUCCUUGAGUGAGCGAAUGCAGGA
rnacentral:pre_miRNA from 1 species